rnacentral:rRNA from 1 species
GUAGGUGGCAAGCGUUGUCCGGAAUUAUUGGGCGUAAAGCGCGCGCAGGCGGUUCUUUAAGUCUGAUGUGAAAGCCCACGGGCUCAACCGUGGAGGGUCAUUGGAAACUGGAGAACUUGAGUACAGAAGAGGAAAGCGGAAUUCCACGUGUAGCGGUGAAAUGCGUAGCGAUGUGGAGGAACACCAGUGGCGAAGGCGGCUUUCUGGUCUGUAACUGACGCUGAGGCGCGAAAGCGUGGGGAGCAAACAGGAUUAGAUACCCUGGUAGUCCACGCCGUAAACGAUGAGUGCUAAGUGUUAGGGGGUUUCCGCCCCUUAGUGCUGCAGCUAACGCAUUAAGCACUCCGCCUGGGGAGUACGGCCGCAAGGCUG